AACGAACGCUGGCGGCAGGCUUAACACAUGCAAGUCGAGCGCCCCGCAAGGGGAGCGGCAGACGGGUGAGUAACGCGUGGGAAUCUACCCAUCUCUACGGAAUAACGCAUGGAAACGUGUGCUAAUACCGUAUACGUCCUUCGGGAGAAAGAUUUAUCGGAGAUGGAUGAGCCCGCGUUGGAUUAGCUAGUUGGUGGGGUAAAGGCCUACCAAGGCGACGAUCCAUAGCUGGUCUGAGAGGAUGAUCAGCCACACUGGGACUGGUACACGGCCCAGACUCCUACGGGAGGCAGCAGUGGGGGGUAUUGGGCAAUGGGCGCAAGCCUGAUCCAGCCAUGCCGCGUGAGUGAUGAAGGCCCUAGGGUUGUAAAGCUCUUUCACCGGUGAAGAUAAUGACGGUAACCGGAGAAGAAGCCCCGGCUAACUUCGUGCCAGCCGCCGCGGUAAAAC
rnacentral:rRNA from 1 species